rnacentral:rRNA from 1 species
GUGCGAGAAAGUAUCUUCGGAUAUGAGUAGAGCGGCGGACGGGUGAGUAACGCGUAGGAAUCUACCUAGUAGAAGGGGAUAGCCCGGGGAAACUCGGAUUAAUACCGUAUACCUCCUUUGGGAGAAAGAAGGCCUCUCUUUGAAGCUUUCGCUACUAGAUGAGCCUGCGUAAGAUUAGCUUGUUGGUGAGGUAAAGGCUCACCAAGGCAACGAUCUUUAGCGGGUCUGAGAGGACGAUCCGCCACAUUGGGACUGAGACACGGCCCAGACUCCUACGGGAGGCAGCAGUGGGGAAUAUUGGACAAUGGGCGCAAGCCUGAUCCAGCCAUACCGCGUGUGUGAAGAAGGCCCUAGGGUUGUAAAGCACUUUAAGUUGGGAAGAAAAGUUAUUGGUUAAUACCCAAUAACCGUGACAUUACCUUCAGAAUAAGGACCGGCUAAUUCCGUGCCAGCAGCCGCGGUAAUACGGAAGGUCCAAGCGUUAAUCGGAAUUACUGGGCGUAAAGCGCGCGUAGGUGGUUUAUUAAGUUGGAUGUGAAAUCCCCGGGCUCAACCUGGGAACUGCAUCCAAAACUGAUUCACUAGAGUACGAUAGAGGGAGGUAGAAUUCACAGUGUAGCGGUGGAAUGCGUAGAUAUUGUGAAGAAUACCAAUGGCGAAGGCAGCCUCCUGGAUCUGUACUGACACUAAGGUGCGAAAGCGUGGGUAGCGAACAGGAUUAGAUACCCUGGUAGUCCACGCCGUAAACGAUGUCAACUAGCUGUUGGGAAACAAUGUUUUUCAGUGGCGCAGCUAACGUAGUAAGUUGACCGCCUGGGGAGUACGGCCGCAAGGCUAAAACUCAAAUGAAUUGACGGGGACCCGCACAAGCGGUGGAGCAUGUGGUUUAAUUCGAUGCAACGCGAAAAACCUUACCUAUACUUGACAUACUUGGAAUGCUUUGUAAUGAAGCAGUGCCCUCGGGAGCCAAGAUACAGGUGCUGCAUGGCUGUCGUCAGCUCGUGUCGUGAGAUGUUCCG